GAUGAACGCUAGCGGCAGGCUUAACACAUGCAAGUCGAGGGGCAGCACUUGUAGCAAUACAUGGUGGCGACCGGCGCAAGGGUGCGUAACGCGUGAGCAACAUGCCCGUAUCAGGGGGAUAAUCCAGGGAAACUUGGUCUAAUACCCCAUAGCAAUUAUUUGAGGCAUCUUAAAUAAUUUAAAGCUUUGGUGGAUACGGAUUGGCUCGCGUGACAUUAGCUAGAUGGUAAGGUAACGGCUUACCAUGGCUACGAUGUCUAGGGGUUCUGAGAGGAAGAUCCCCCACACUGGAACUGAGACACGGUCCAGACUCCUACGGGAGGCAGCAGUGAGGAAUAUUGGACAAUGGAUGGAAAUCUGAUCCAGCCAUGCCGCGUGCAGGAAGACGGCCCUAUGGGUUGUAAACUGCUUUUGUGUGGGAGCAAUAAGGUCGAUGCGUAGACUGAUGAGAGUACCAUACGAAUAAGCAUCGGCUAACUCCGUG
rnacentral:rRNA from 1 species